CCUACGGGAGGCAGCAGUGGGGGAUAUUGCACAAUGGGGGAAACCCUGAUGCAGCGACGCCGCGUGGGUGAAGAAGCGCCUCGGCGCGUAAAGCCCUGUCAGCAGGGAAGAAAAUGACGGUACCUGAAGAAGAAGCCCCGGCUAACUACGUGCCAGCAGCCGCGGGAAUACGUAGGGGGCAAGCGUUCUCCGGAUUGACUGGGUGGAACGGGGUCGCAGGCGGCGAUGCAAGCCAGGAGUGAAAGCCCGGGGCCCAACCCCGGGACUGCUCGUGGAACUGUGUGGCUAGAGUGCAGGAGGGGAAGGCGGAAUUCCUGGUGUAGCGGUGAAAUGCGUAGAUAUCAGGAGGAACACCGGUGGCGAAGGCGGCCUGCUGGACUGCAACUGACGUUGAGGCCCGAAAGCGUGGGGAGCAAACAGGAUUAGAUACCCUGGUAGUC
rnacentral:rRNA from 1 species